UGGUUAGCGGCGGACGGGUGAGUAACACGUAGGCAACCUGCCUGCAAGACCGGGAUAACCCACGGAAACGUGAGCUAAUACCGGAUAUCUCAUUUCCUCUCCUGGGGAAAUGACGAAAGACGGAGCAAUCUGUCACUUGCGGAUGGGCCUGCGGCGCAUUAGCUAGUUGGUGAGGUAACGGCUCACCAAGGCGACGAUGCGUAGCCGACCUGAGAGGGUGAACGGCCACACUGGGACUGAGACACGGCCCAGACUCCUACGGGAGGCAGCAGUAGGGAAUCUUCCGCAAUGGGCGAAAGCCUGACGGAGCAACGCCGCGUGAGUGAUGAAGGUUUUCGGAUCGUAAAGCUCUGUUGCCAGGGAAGAACGUCCGGUAGAGUAACUGCUAUCGGAGUGACGGUACCUGAGAAGAAAGCCCCGGCUAACUACGUGCCAGCAGCCGCGGUAAUACGUAGGGGGCAAGCGUUGUCCGGAAUUAUUGGGCGUAAAGCGCGCGCAGGCGGUCAUUUAAGUCUGGUGUUUAAGGCCAAGGCUCAACCUUGGUUCGCACUGGAAACUGGGUGACUUGAGUG
rnacentral:rRNA from 1 species